rnacentral:rRNA from 1 species
UACGUAGGAGGCGAGCGUUGUCCGGAGUUACUGGGCGUAAAGGGUGCGCAGGCGGCGUUCCGCGUGGCGAGAUGAAAUCUCCUGGCUUACCUGGGAGGUGGUCGCCAGACGGGAGCGCUUGAGGGUCGGAGAGGGGCGUGGAAUUCCGGGUGGAGCGGUGAAUGCGUAGAGAUCCGGAGGAACACCGACGGCGUAGGCAGCGCCCUGGACGACACCUGACGCUGAGGCAC